AACAUUCAAAUUUUAUAGCAGAACCUGCCAAUCUUGCUCUUAUUCAACUUUUGCCCAGCUUAUUUCCACAAAACUGACUUAUGAUAUUGUUUAAUCUUAGGCGGAGGCAACUGCCAUCAAUAGAAGAGGCAUGGAAUCUUCCGAUUUCAGCUGAGCUGUCGUCACGACAACAGCAGCUGCAACAACAGCAACAACAGCAGCAGCAGCAACAGCAACAACAACAGCAGAACUCAUGGCAGCAACAGAGAUCGCAGCAAGCCCAAUACCAAAAACCUAACUUACCCAACUCUGUGCAAUUGCAACACCCACAGCAGUUAUUGCAGAAUUCACGACCAAGAUUAGAUCAGCCUUAUCAAAGCCAAAUCUUCAGAAUUCAGUGA
rnacentral:lncRNA from 1 species